rnacentral:tRNA from 1 species
GUCCCUGUAGCGCAAUGGAAAGAGCGUUGGACUUCUACUCCAAAGGUCGUGGGUUCAAAUCCCACCUGGGAACA